rnacentral:tRNA from 1 species
UAUGAUUGAGUGUAAGGCAUUAAAAAUUUUGAUUUUUUAGGUGAUAUUUAAAUAUUAAUCAUAA